GACAGAGGGGGCAAGCGUUGUCCGGAAUUACUGGGCGUACAGCGCACGCAGGUGGCCUGGCAAGUGUGGUGUGAAAGCCCCGCGCUUAACGCGGGGAGGCCAGCACAGACUGUCGGGCUCGAGGGCUGCAGAGGGUGGUGGAAUUGCCGGUGUAGUGGUGAAAUGCGUAGAGAUCGGCAGGAACACCAAGGCCGAAGGGAGCCACCUGGGCAGCAUCUGACACUCAUGUGCGACAGCGUGGGGAGCGAACCGG
rnacentral:rRNA from 1 species